AGAGUUUGAUCAUGGCUCAGGAUGAACGCUAGCGGCAGGCUUAAUACAUGCAAGUCGAGGGGCAGCAUGGUGUAGCAAUACACUGAUGGCGACCGGCAAACGGGUGCGGAACACGUACAGAACCUUCCUUCAAGCGGGGAAUAGCCCAGAGAAAUUUGGAUUAAUACCCCAUAGUAUAUCGAUUAGGCAUCUUUUUGAUAUUAAAGAUUUAUCACUUGAAGAUGGCUGUGCGGCUGAUUAGGUAGUUGGCGGGGUAACGGCCCACCAAGCCUACGAUCAGUAACUGGUGUGAGAGCACGACCAGUCACACGGGCACUGAGACACGGGCCCGACUCCUACGGGAGGCAGCAGUAAGGAAUAUUGGUCAAUGGACGAAAGUCUGAACCAGCCAUGCCGCGUGGAGGAUGAAGGUCCUCUGGAUUGUAAACUCCUUUUAUCUGGGACGAAAAAAGGUCUUUCUAGAUCGUCUGACGGUACCAGAUGAAUAAGCACCGGCUAACUCCGUGCCAGCAGCCGCGGUAAUACGGAGGGUGCAAGCGUUAUCCGGAUUCACUGGGUUUAAAGGGUGCG
rnacentral:rRNA from 1 species